rnacentral:rRNA from 1 species
UACGGGGGGAGCAAGCGUUGUUCGGAUUUUCUGGGCGUAAAGGGCGCGUAGGCGGUCGUGACACGUCAUUUGUGAAAUCUCCGGGCUUAACUCGGAAAGGUCAAGUGAUACUGUCGGACUAGAGUACAGAAGGGGCAACUGGAAUUCUCGGUGUAGCGGUGAAAUGCGUAGAUAUCGAGAGGAACACCUGCGGCGAAGGCGGGUUGCUGGGCUGAUACUGACGCUGAGGCGCGAAAGCUAGGGGAGCGAACGGG